UACGGGAGGCAGCAGUGGGGAAUUUUGGACAAUGGGCGAAAGCCUGAUCCAGCAAUGCCGCGUGUGUGAAGAAGGCCUUCGGGUUGUAAAGCACUUUUGUCCGGAAAGAAAUGGCUCUGGUUAAUACCUGGGGUCGAUGACGGUACCGGAAGAAUAAGGACCGGCUAACUACGUGCCAGCAGCCGCGGUAAUACGUAGGGUCCAAGCGUUAAUCGGAAUUACUGGGCGUAAAGCGUGCGCAGGCGGUUGUGCAAGACCGAUGUGAAAUCCCCGAGCUUAACUUGGGAAUUGCAUUGGUGACUGCACGGCUAGAGUGUGUCAGAGGGGGGUAGAAUUCCACGUGUAGCAGUGAAAUGCGUAGAGAUGUGGAGGAAUACCGAUGGCGAAGGCAGCCCCCUGGGAUAACACUGACGCUCAUGCACGAAAGCGUGGGGAGCAAACAGGAUUAGAUACCCUGGUAGUCCACGCCCUAAACGAUGUCAACUAGUUGUUGGGGAUUCAUUUCCUUAGUAACGUAGCUAACGCGUGAAGUUGACCGCCUGGGGA
rnacentral:rRNA from 1 species